rnacentral:rRNA from 1 species
CGGGUAACGGGGAAUUAGGGUUCUAUUCCGGAGAGGGAGCUGAGAAACGGUACCACAUCCAAGGAAGGCAGCAGGCGCGCAAAUUACCCAAUCCCAAUAUGGGGAGGUAGUGACAAUAAAUAUUAAUACUGGGGGCUCUUUUGGGUCUCGAUAAUUGAGAAUGAGUACAAUCUAAAUCCCCUUAACGAGGAACAAUUGGAGGGCAGUCUGGUGCCAGCAGCCGCGGUAAUUCCAGCUCCAAUAGCGUAUAUUAACAGUUGUUGCCGUUAAAAAGCUCGUAGUUGAACUUUGGGGUCUGGCUGAUCUGUCCUCCUAAUCGGAGCGCACGGAUUCGGGUCGGGGCUAUCCUUCUGGGGAGCCCUAUG